GGCUUGGUGGCGUAAUGGUAACGCACUCCGUUAUAAUGCGCAUUUUUAUAUUGAUUGACGGGAAGUCCGGAGUUCAAUUCUCCGUCAAGCCG